GGGAUCUGCUCAUGCUCGCCAACCCGCUCCACCUCCGGCUGCUCUCCGAGGACUGCUCCGUUCGGGUGCUCGACGACUUCAAGUACCGGAGCAUCGACGGCGACCUGGUCGGCGUCGUUGGCGACUCCUGGGUUCUCAAGACCGACCCGUUGUCCCCAACAUGGCAUUCCACCCGGGGCGUCAACGACGACGGGGUCGACGAGGUCGUGGCCGCGCUGCGCAAGGACGUUGACAGCCUGGCUUCCAGCCCCAUCACCACCACCUCCUCCUACUUCUACGGGAAGGCCAUUGCCAGGGCGGCGAGGCUGGCGCUGAUCGCCGAGGAGGUCGGGUGCCCCG
rnacentral:lncRNA from 1 species